rnacentral:rRNA from 1 species
GAUGAACGCUGGCGGCGUGCCUACUACAUGCAAGUCGAGCGAGCGGCGGACGGGUGAGUAACACUUGAUAACCUACCUAUAAGACUGGGUUAACUUCGGGAAACCGGAGCUAAUACCGGAUACUUAUAGAUGGAUCCACGCUGCAUUAGCUAGUGGGAAAGGUAACGACUUACAAAGGCAACGAUGCAGAGCCGACCUGAGAGGAUGACCAGCCACACUGGAACUGCGACACGGGCCAGACUCCUACGGGAGGCAGCAGUGGGGAAUAUUGCACAAUGGGCGCAAGCCUGAUGCAGCCAUGCCGCGUGUAUGAAGAAGGCCUUCGGGUUGUAAAGUACUGUCAGCGAGGUGGCGUUACUCGCAGAAGAAGCACCGGCUAACUCCGUGCCAGCAGCCGCGGUAAUAC